GAAUGGUUUCAAAGUAACAUCGAGCUUGAUAAAAGCCAGGGAAGAGCACCAUCUUCAAAACUCGACGCAUAAUCUUGUCUUGGAUGCAUGGCUCAAGGACAAAACGGAAGGAAAAAUCGUGAAGAUGCCCAAACUUGCGAUGUUACUUGAAAAAGUAGCAAAGUCGGGUGCCGCGGUAUUCUAUAAUCGGACACUGCAAAUAGAUACAGAUUAUCUUAAUCCAGCUGAUAUUGCUAACUAUCAGCCAACUCGUGGCACACCAUGAAAGGAACUCUGAUGGGAUAUAACAUUAUAACUUCCGGCAGUGGAACUGGAGGUGCAACCCUUUAUAAUGCACUUCCUCAUCUCAAUAUAAGUUCAUCUAGCAUCAUCUCCUUUGUCAGUGCAUUUCACAGUGAUGCAGAAGCUAUAUGGCCCAUACCAGCUGGUUCUCAUGUGGCGGUUGCGGAUGUAAAUGAUGUGUAUGUUUCUAUCGUGAGUGGUCUUGGCUCAGUUUUGGGCUCGCAGUUGUUCACCGCAUCUGAAUACAUUUUGAACAAUGCGCUUGAAGUCAUCGGCGAAGGUGCGAAUAACACCACUAAGCAAGGCGACAAGAUCCCUACUCUCUCGGCUCCUAUCAUCGCUGUAAAGUCGAGUCAUAUCUGUGCAAGGCGAUUGAUCUUAGGUUCGAGUGAUGUGCGUGAUGGAGCUCAAGCUUUACUGUCAUUGUUAAACGGCGGUGAACAGGAGAAAAGCGUUAAAUCAAGUAUUGAAGCGACCAGAGUACGCUUUGUUGGCCAUGCCAUUCUUGAAGAAGAAGAGCAUGCUCCUAUCAUGCCAGCCAAGGAGCGCAGCACUCUGCAGCGAGCUUCGUAUGAUCUCAGUCGCGCUCCGUUACCUUACUCUACGGUCAAUGUCAUCCAGAAAGUGAGCGAUACAACAGUUGCUUACUCAGAUUCACGGGGCUCUGGUCAAGCGAUUGCUUUUUGA
rnacentral:lncRNA from 1 species